rnacentral:pre_miRNA from 1 species
CAUGUACUCCCUUCGUUCCAAAUUACUCGUCGCAGAAAUGGAUGUAUCUAGAACUAAAAUACAUCUAGAUACAUCCAUACUUGCGACAAGUAAUUCGGAACGGAGGGAGUACUUG